UGUAACCCUUCCAAAACACACAAUGCGGCUGCCUUUACAUAUGCUGAAAAGCUUACUUCUUAAGGGCCUUGGACGGAAGCGUCAGCCCGUAGUGCAGAGAAACGAUAAAUACUUGGCGAGAAGGCUAAGUACAUAUUCUAAGCCUAAAGAAUCCUUUUUGGGGAAUGUCAACAACUUUCGGCUAGAUGGGUUUUAGUGGCUCACGAUAGUGGUGGAAAAGAAAAGAAAUAUAAAGAUGGAAAAGGAAUUUUUAUUAAAGGAAAAUAUGGAAAGAAACAAAAGCCUAGAGGAGGAGAGUGUUUACAUAAAAAGAUGAACAACCAAAUAGAGUCAUUUCACCCCCUAUUUAUAGUACUAGGAAGAUAGUCUAAUUUGACUUAAAUUCUAAAAAGAUAAAUAUAUUUAAUUAAAGAUAAUUAAAAUAAAAUCCUAAAAUUAAAUAAUCCUAAUAAUUAUCUUAAUAUUAAUUAUCCUAAUAUAAAAAUAGAGUCUUAUAAAAUAAAAUCUCUUCUUUUUGCAUUUUCAGUCCUUGUGUCUUCUAUGCUUGCACUUUUGGCACAAUCUUUUUCCUCUGUCGCAUAUCAGCCCAUUUUUUCUCCAAAUUCGUAUUUUUGCCCAUUAAUUUUACUUUUGCCUCCAAAUCAGUCUCUAAAAGAUAAAAUAUUAUAUAUAGCAUAAAUUAGCAGGAUCAUACUCAGAAUAAUCACAUAAUUAAUAAAAUAAAAUACGUUAUUCUGGAGUAUUAUCAAAUUACCCCUACUUAGCCCAUGCUUGCCCUCAAGCAUGGUUCCUAUCCACUAUGAAAGUUAGAUUCUGCUAUAAAAGAAAUACCACUCUAAAGUUUCAUAAGAAUUAGUUAGAAAUGCAUAUGAAAAAUAAAGAGAACCCUAAGCUUGCUUUAAGUAAAACAAAAAAAGUUUUCCAAUUAAUACACAUAGAAAUUAAAAUCGAUUUGAAUUAUUUCAUGGAAAUUAGGUAAAUUACUAAACUUACCAAGACACCCUCUUUGUUUCUUCCUUUAACCCCAAAUUUUAUUUAUUUACAUAUUUUUUUUUGCUUUUUCAUUUUCUUUCUUUUUUUUAUUUACUUAUUUAUUUAUGUAUGUUUGUAUGUUGAACUUUUGACGCGAAGAGUGAUAACAGCCAAGCACCAAACCUCGGUUACUCAGCCCAACAUACUUUUUAUUUUUUAUUUUUCCUAAAAUCAUGUGGAACCUUUUGACGCGAAGAGUGAUGACAACCAAGCACCCCACCCCGAUUACUCAGCCCAACACAUUCUAAAGAAUUAAUUCCGGUUAGCAGAGUUUUAACUAUCAUGUCACACAAUCUUUUGACGAGAAGUAGAAUGACAACCCAAGCACCCUACCCCGGUUACUCAGUCAGUCACAUUCUAAGCUGUACUCAUAACCACGAAAAAAUUAUUAACAAUUAAAAGAAAUUUAAGUGUCAAGAGCAAGUUUCAAUAAUCACCUAAUAGCCAUGAACAUAAAUUAAGCAUGCAAUCAUUUUAAAUGUUCACUUUAUAUUAAACUUGAUUAAUUUUACGAAAAGCAAGACAGAGUUAACUCUAUUAAUCACAAUUAUUUUUAGCCUAAUAAAAAUGAAACUGUGGAGAUGACAUCAAUUAUGAAAAAAAUCAUAACUUCCUCAGAAGGCAAGAAUCAUGCUUGUGGGGCAAACAGUAAGCAAUUCCUGGUCAAAAUCUUGGGCUUGAAAAGAGACAGCAUCUUCUUAAAAAAAAUAUGGACAAAAUAGGGUCUCAUCAAACAGUAACAAAAACACAGCAGCAACAUCGACCAAAAUCACAGUAGAAAAUGACAGUAAUAAUUAAGAGUUCCUUCCCCCUACUUAAAACACAUUGUCCUCAAUGUUGACAAAAAGAAAUAAAUAGGUAGAAAGGUUUAGUAAUACUCCCCACGUAGUUUACCGUCGAUCACGCUUGAUGGCAAGGAGUUCGGUGAGUUGCUGGCCAAAUGUAUCAAGUCGAGCCUCAAUGCGCUCUAAGCGUUGCUCAACGGUCAAUGUUGGUUGAGCUUGGGCGGGUGCUUUAUUAUGAGUUUGUUGGCGAAAGACUCGCUCGGAUUGUGAAGAACGAAUACGGGGAGGUACAAAACUGAAUAUGAUGGAGUGCCACGAAGUAAUCCCAUUGAGUCGAGGCAUCGAGCAUCCAAAGGACUAAUGUUUGACUUCCAGGAAAAUGCAGGAUGAACAGAAUUUGCCAACUCACAGGUGAAUCAGGAAUUAUUUAAAAAGAAAAAGGACUAAUGUUAAGUUUGAUACAAAUUUCCCUCGAUUUUCCUCGAUCAGAAACCAAACAGAAUAAAAAGAGAUGAAGAAAAAACAAGAUUUUUUUAAAGAAUCAAAAUUUAUACCUUAAAAGAAACACUAGCACUACCUUGACUCACUCAUUCGGAAGAAGCUACCACUGAUUCAUGAAUUCAAACCUUUUCUUUUCCUUUUUCGAGAGAGAGAAAGAAGCUAAUGACAAUGGAUCUUGAUUGUAAAAUAAAAUAUUUAGAGGGGUAGAGAAAUGUAGUUCCCUUUUCAUGAAUGUCAAGACAAUGAGAGAACAGUGCAAGAUAUAACAAACCUGGUUGGCGUAACUGAUACCCAUGUUUGCCCAAGCACGCACAUAGUUUGGCUUCAAAUAUAGUGCCUAAAGAUCCAGACAUAGACCAAAAGACUAAAUUCAAUAGUGCUGAAAAUAUGGCCACCACAGGUAAAGGGAAGUUUAUCAUCAAAUAGUUUUAAAUGGACAAUCUCAGUAACAGAGGCUAAACAAAUCAAACUGCAUAUGCAAGAUCUGACUGCAUUAAAAAAGGCAUUUUGAAAUAGAUGAUCAAGGGUAUAUGUAAAUUGAGGAAGUGCAUAAUCAAAUCAUCUAAAAUAACAAAUAGCUUCAAAAAUCAAAUAACUAAUUACAUGGAGCUUAAUAGAAGAGCUAGUCUGUUUUCUAAGGUCCAACUAGGUGCAACAUGUUAUUUGGAUAAUCUUUUUAGCAGCCUAAGGUUACAAAGAUGGAGCAAGUAAAUAAUUCAACCCUAUAAGAGAGCUGUAUAACACACCAAUGCAUCACUUUACAAUCGAAAGAUAAGAAAGAAGAGAAAUAGAGGAAAAGAUGAUGCAACCCAUAAGAGUUUGGCACACAGAAGAUUGACAUGUUGGGUUAUCACAUGUUUUGCAUUUCUUUAUGCCAUCCUUUCAAUUGAUUAAGCACAAGCCAAGUCCUAGACACACUUUUUUGUAUAGAAGCGAAAAAGCCCCCUUGAUUCAAGAAGCACAAAUUUACAUAUUCACCUUAAUUUACUCAAAAAAGUGAUUUUUUUACAUCUUGCACCUCAAAUGGUUCAGGUAGUUACAGCACCCUUGCCGACAUUGUCAACACCUUCAUAAUUCAUUUUUUUUUUAUUCUGGCCUAACAUGCAAAAUAGUGACCAACACACCAUACAAAUUGAUUCUUAGUAAAAUCCUAGUACUCAUAUAUUUUGAAUUUCACACAUUACAGGUGCUCCAACUUAGUAAAGAGAACCCCAAAAUUUUAGGAUAGGGAAAAUAAAUUUUUAAUUAUAAAAAAAGUAAUUAUGAAAUUAACAUAUCAGAUGGUAUACAGAUAGGACAGCACUAUUCAAGGGGGAAUCAUGAAGAAGCUACCUGUUGAUAAGGUAUGUUGCACCAGGCUUGUUCCAAAGAGAAUAAUCAUUAGGUUUAAGUUUCAAAGCAGUUUUGAAAGAUGCAAUGGCCUUAUCAUAUUCUCCCGACAAAUUAUACUGAACACCAAGGACAAUGUGUACAUCAGCAUCCUCAAGAGACAUCUGACCAACUUCAUUGAAUAAUCUAGCAACCUGUAUGGCAGAAAACACUUCGAUUAACACCAGAAUAUAACAAUAACAUUUCCAAAAUGUAAUGUUAGGGAUAAGCUUCUAGUAAUCUUAAGGAAAAUUAUAUCCUGUCAUCGUAUGUAAAAAUCUAAGUCCAAAAUAUAAUCACUGUAGUCAUGGAAACCAUAUGCAAAAAAAGACACUCUUGUAAUCACAACAUUCACAACAUAAGCAAACUAUCCCACAGUAACAUUAGAGGAAGUGGCUUACACUUAAACCAAGAUUGCAAUAUCAAGGCAUUGUUCCAAAAGACAAAAACCAACCAAAAAAACAAAGAAUUAUACCCUAGUGUACUUACAUCAGCAUAAUACACAGAAUCAGCAAGCUCCGGUGGCGCAAGAGUGCCAUACUUUGGGUGAGAUACUUUAAAGAAACAGUCUGCUCCAAUUCUGAACUUUCAAACAGUAUUAUUUGUUUGACACUCCAAAAUUUUAAUCUCAUCUUGAUUAAAGCAAUAAGCUUUCACUAACCAUUUGUAUGACUCGCACCAAGAGCAAGAAGUACUUCCAGAUUGGUAGGAUCGGCGUCUUGAGCACGCAUCAUUACUGCAAUAGCCUGUACAGAGAUAUCUAAUCAGUGAAUUACAUUUUGUCUACAAAGUCAAAUAUAUGGACCCCAGUAAAGACCACAUAAAACUGCAGAUUCAUUAAUCAAGAAUAACAGAAGUAUAAAAAGGUCUUGCAUAAUCCAUGUAAGUCUCAAGAUUAUGACAAGCAGACACAUUAAUCAUCCAAAACAAUUUGCAAUAAAUGUGAAACAUUACACUUCAUAGGCUUGAUAUAGACAUAGUUUAAGAUGGAACCUUAUCCAUUCAAAUUAUUUUUAAUUAAGCCAAAAUGGUUUUGACAUGGUUCAAGAAUAAAUAGAAGUGGAUGAUAAGUGAAAUGUAAUGCACUACUAGUUCAUGUGACAACAAAUGAUAAUAGGUUAGAUCCAGAACAUUAGCAGCCAGGCAAAGACUGCGGCCUUAGAUCUGGUACUCUGACUGAAGCCUCAGGCCACUAAGAUAAACAUGAUAUCAAUCAUAUUGCAAACUUCAAUGUUUAAACGAAAAAUAGCUCAUUCUAUCCCUUUUCAGUCAAAGUUUUCAUAUAUAAGAAAUGAACAUUGCAUGGUACACCAAAGUGGCUAUAUCAAGCCAGCAAAUACAAACACAAAAUGCAGCGGUACAAGAAAACAGAUCCUUUGUGUUCAAAGGUUUUCUUGCUAGCUAAACCAAUAGGUUGUUCUCUUUCCUAAAAUAUGAUAGUAUUCACAGGGCAUUAGACAUGAUUCAAAAUUAUUUAGAUUCAGAUGGAAUAGAAAGGUAAAUGGUAAACCUUGCCAGGCAAAGAAUCAUGUUGAGUAUUUGUUUGUUAUGGUUGAGUAUUUUGAGAUAGUUAUAUGUAGCUAACUUUGAGUAUUAUAUUGAGAUGAAAAUGGUUAAUAUGUGUAUGAGUGUGAAUGUGUUGAUUUGCUGAAUGGAUGAAAAGGAAUAGGUAUGUUUAAGCUAGCAUAAAGUUGGAUAAUUUCGACAAUCAUGGAUGAAAAGGAAUCGGUAUGUUUAAGCUUGGGGAAUCCGUGAUGCAUUGUACAAUAAUCGACCUUGCGAACAAACCAGAUUAUUAGAAAACCAAAAUACAAUUACUACUGCUUUGACAGUUAAUAUUAUACGAUAUCAAAUAAAUGAAAUAUCGGUUUCAGGUUAAACUGGCAUAUAAUCCUGUUUAACUCGUACAUUUAACAGAAUUUUAACAAUUUAUACAAAGGCACAAUUGCUUAAACAAUUUCACUAGAAAUGAAGUUAUGUGGUCUUAGUUGAACUUUAAGCAUUAUAUCCAUAAAAGAAAUAUGGGUAUCAGGUUAAACUGGCAACUAAUCCCCAUUCAUCUCAAAGUUUUAGGGCAUUAAAGAAUGAAUUUAAGCCAUGGGGGAGUGCAUAAGAACACUAAAAUUGAAAAGAAAAGAUAUUGGGAUAAGAACAUUAUCGUGCAAUACGAAGGGAAUAGCGUGUCUAUUUGGGAUAAGAAUCAAUGUAAUAGAGAAUAUGAAUAAUAAAGUAGUUGACUGUAAAAUAGACGCCAUGGCUGGUGAAAUCUUGCAGAACCAGAAUUUCUUUCUUUCCCAAAGCAUCCAACAGGAACAACCACACCGACAUCCAUAGAUUUGAAAAGACAAACCGAAACAAUAUUUCCUAGGGCUGAAAACCCAAAAUCUAUGGAUGAAGCAAGUGAUUCCAAUAUCACAAUAAAAAAAUUAAAAAUAAAAAGCAGAAACGAUUGAGAAGGAAGAGAUGAAAACGGAUUAGAGAGGAAAAUUUUGAAGAGAAAGAGAUGGUGAAGAAAUGGGAAGGAAGGGGAUUUGAAAAGACUGAUGAAAACGGGCAGAAGGAAUCUUCUUCUGCCAACGGUAACUAUUGCUAUUUAAUACACUCAUUUAAUAAAGUGAUAAUUGAGUUAUUUACUUUUCAAAAUUUCAUUUAAUACACUUUUAUAUUCUCAAUAUCUAAAUAUAUUUAUUUUUAAAAUAAUACUAUUUACUAUAUCAAAUAUAUAAAGAAUUAAAAAAAUAUAAUUAAAAUCUGGUAGUUUAACGGUGUUAAAUUUGGUAACUAAUAAAGAAAAACUUAAAAUUUGAGGUGGUUGUUGGAUAUUUCAAACUAAGAAAUGUUAAUUUAUUUAUUACCCAUAUAUUUUUAAUAUAACUAUUUUAAACUUUUCUAGCAAUUCAUAAAUAAUUUUAUUAUUAGAAAAAUUAAUAAAAUAUAUAUCUAAAAAUAUAAAGGAGAAUAUAAAUUUACAAUUUAUAAAUUUUAAAUUGAAAUAUAUUAUUUGAUUGAUGAUUAGAGUUAUCUACGUAUUAAAUUAGAUCAGAUUUCAUAAAUAGCCCAUAUAUGUAGGCAUAUUUAAGAUCUGUAAGUCUAUAUUGGGUCUGGAAUUCUAGGUAUUUCAGUUCUAUUAAUUUUAUUUUAUUUAAUAUACCAACCUAUUUUACAUAAAAAACAAUGAAAGUAUGGCAGCUUAUACUACCAUAGACGAAAGGAGCAUAUCAAUGAGAUUUCAUUUAUGGAUUAGAGGAAACUAUAAAAUAUAACUAAAGGAGGAGGCAGAAAACUUAAAAAAUUUUAGAUAGAAUGAAAUAGUGGCGUGUCUUCUAUAACCUCUAAUGAACACAAUAUCAAUGAAAAGCCCCUAAAUGAAAAGCCCCCAAAUAAAAUUCACAAUCCAAGGAAUAUAAAUAAUCACAGAGUAAACCUGUGACUCAGAAGGCUGUACCUUCUGAACAUCGUUCAUGUAAUACUUCAGUGCCAACUCUAGCAAGAGCCCCACCUAAUCCUUGGCUUAUUCCAUAAACUGAUACCACCUCAAAUACAAAACUCUAAUAUAUUUCCAUUGCAAGCAUCCUAAGCUAAUUGAUUGGACCCCAAAAACAAUGUAACAUCCUUUUGGAUUCAUCAUCUUCUUCCACAGCCUUCUAAGAGGCUUUAACAUCUCUUUCCUCCACCAUAACUGCACCAUUGAUCCUAGUCUUAAUUUCUUCGAUAUCAAAAUUUACAUUCCAAUUUAUAAAUCACAAUUUCUUAAAAUAAGGGUUCUUUUAAGUUCUAUAAAACUAAGAAUAAAAUGCGAAAAUUUCCUUUACAAUUUUUCUAGUUCACCCUUCUAAUAUCCCUUUAAACAAUUUAAUAAUCUUAUAAAUGUGCUAAUGGAAUGUAACCAAUGGCCAUGUCUGAAAAUUGCUUAUUGAAAAAGAACAAAGUUCAUGCCUGAUUAAGGGUGCCAUGCCUCGGAUGUUCCUGGAUGUCGGAAUACAACAAAUUACUAAAUUUGCAAGAAGCAAGAUACAAACUCCAUGCUAUUGUCAUUUAUCCAUAUUAAUAACAUCAAUUCAAUUAAAAAAGCCCCAAAAAGAUUGAGAUUCCAAAUUCAAGCUCAUAUAAUGAAUGACUGUGAUAAUAGCUAUUGAUAUAAUAUUUGAUGUUUAUACAUUAUUUUAGAUAGAAAGAAAGAAAGAAACUUGUAUAGGUGCUCUCCUCUACAGAUGAAAGUUGGAAAAGUGUGGGCCAUUAAACCAAGUUGCCAACUUCACAAACAAGUAAAGCCUCAUAGUAUAGCAAGAUAUUGCCAUCAAUCUUUUUGCACUAAUAAACCUCUUGGUUGAUAGAAAAUAUUAUUCACAUUCCUGAGGACCGAUUUUCAUUAUUCCGUUCUGCAUCAUCUUCUAGAUCAUCCUCAUCUUCAUUGGGAAUGUCUUCGCUGUAAUCAUCUAAUGAACCAAUAGGAAAAACGAUGUCACCUUAAGAAAUUUAAUGGAUUUAGUUCAAUCAACGUGGACGAGGCAAAGUUAUAGCUAUGAUAUGCACAAAGCUCAAAACAUUAGGCGCAUUCAAUGUUCUACCUUGGUUGAAAGCAAAUGAUCAAUUAUCUAUCCCAUUAAACUAUAUUGGAGAGCAUCAGCACCAUAUUAAACACGAGAAGCAAAAGGUAUUCCUAGAUUCAUGUAUACUCUAGGUUUGACUGCAUCACAAUGAAGAUUAACAAAAAGCUGCUAAGUACCGUAUAAAGGGACAAGGCAUCAAAACUGAGUGGGACAAGGUAAAUAGAAAACUCUUUACCCUUUUGAGACAAUGAAGGAGUAUCCCUGGAGUCCGAUGCGUUAUCAAGAACAUAAGGAAGAUCUAGUAAUUCCAAAAAAGAUACAAUCUGAGGAUUACGGGGAGAACCUACAAAAGGUGAGAAAAUUUUAAUAAUUAAAAAAGAAAUCGAGCAAAAACAAAUUGCAAAAGUCAUGAUUAUUCUAGUUGCAAAUCUAAAUAAAAAAGAACGCAUUCACUAACCAACAAUUAAUUGAGCUAAAAGAAGAUAAAAAAUGAAGGAUAGUGUUUCAUAACCACUUUGACAGUAAUAUUGAGAUGCCUAUGGUAUAAAUAUGCAAACAUAUAUGGUAAGUUUCUUAAAUCCAAAAGAUAGAACCAUUAAUGGAGAUACUAUUAGCACCUCAAAGAAGGAAAAGCAUCAAAAUAUCACCAUAUUAUUUACCAGAAAAAUUAAGAAUCAAAGGGUUUGUGAGGUGGAGCUGUUUGAGAAAAUUCACAAGGUUUUAUGGGUAUAAAAAAUGGGUAUUUGGAAGUGACAAAAUUUCGUAUAAAAACAACAACUUGGAGAAAGUGAGAGUGUGAGAGAAAGAACCUGGAAAUCACCAUAACAAAGGAGGAGGUCAAUUUUGAUGUUGCGAGUGUUUUCGAUGUAUUUAAAGGUGUCGUAGACCUUGUCGAGAUCUCCAUGCAUGCACCCUUCCACUGCUAUCUUCAUUGUAGGAAACCUCAGACAGCUAGUCAAGUUGACAUCAAAAUAAAUUAAAUAUUCAGUCGGUAAUUCCAACUAUAAUAAUGAAAUCCUCAUUGGCUUCCACAAUCCAUCCAUUUAUAAACUGUAAUCGCCGAAAACGGCUUCGUAGAUCACAAUGUUUCAGAUCCACAGGUUCCUAUCAGCAAGCGAAACAUGGAAUUUAUAUCGGUCCAAUCAUAGCAUCGCCGGUCACUGCUCUUGGCUACCGGCGACGUGGCAUCGGACCCAAAAAUGAUAGAUAAAAAAAAUCCAUUCAAAAGAAAACCCUCAGAGACCCGUUUCAAAUCACUCACACAGCGGAACACGCUUCGAGGAAGCACUCGCCUGAUUUCCCGACCAACCAUCAAACACCUAAGAACAAAUAUCAGAGGGCUGAGAAUUGGCAGUUGGGAAGACGGGUAUGUUCCUUAGCGAGUUGCCGCCGCUGAUUAAAGUGUCAUACGGCACUUCCUAUCUAUGGGAAUUCUUCCUCACUGGGAUUUCAAACUAUAAAACACUUUUUAUUCUACAUUUCAAAACAAAUUUAAACCAAAACAAAACAAAACAAAAAUAAAGAGUAAAAGGGAGAGUUCCACAGAUAAACCCUAGAAUGACUUGUUCUUUUUAUUAUAUGGCGGAGAAACUUAGUAGGAUUUUAUAAAGAGCAACGGUGUUGAAAGAAACCCUAGAUCUCUAAAUUGGAAAUUGUAGAGAGAUUGAAAUUCAUCAAAUUGGGCUUAUUUUGGUGAUUUUAAAUAAACCGAAAGGGAUUUUCAAGGCCCAAAAUGCUUGAUGUAGGAUGCUCCUACAAACUCCAUAUGCCUAAACUAUUGGUUUUAUUAAUCUGUUUCCAUCCAUUUUAAAAUAUAUAUAUAUUUAAUUUAAAAUAUCAGAAUGUAAAAGUGAAUUAAAACAUAAUGAAAAUAUUUAUAAAAAAAAAAUUGUUAAAAACAUUAUUAAAAAAAUUCAAAAUUUGCUCAGUUAUCCCUAAAUUUGACAUCCUACUUUUAUUGGUUGAAAACAAUUUGGAGUAAUUCCGAGUAUAUUAAACCUUCACCAGCAAAUUCAAUCCCAAACUAGUUUAAUCCCUAUCAAAUAAUAUGAUAUUAUUAUUCAUGUCUUAUUCGAUUACUUUAUAAAAAAAAAAACUAAAUCCAAACGCCUAUAAAAAUUUAUAAAUUUAAUCCACAAAUUGGUACUUAAAUUAUAUAUUUUUUCUCAUCUUUAUACCUAAUCUUUUUAUUUUAUUUUCAUCAAUAAAAUAAAAUAUUUAGAGAGGUUGAGUAAUUGGUUUCAUUAUUAUUAGGGGAGGGAACGGGCCUAUAUCCCUUUAGCGGAAUAAGAACGAAAAUUAACUCAAGGAGGAAGAAAAAAUAUAAAACUAGAUCUUAAAUUCGAACUGCAGAAUAAGAACGAAUAUUAACACCAGUAAACUUAAAAAAUCUGAACCAGAUUCAAAAUAUUUUACUAAGAAAAAAAAUAAAACGAAUAAAAAUAGUAAUUUCUAAACCUGAAAACCAAAAACCAUAAAAUAAACCAAGAAAUAGAAAUAAAAAAGCAUAAUUCUUAAAUUAAAAACAGAAAACAGAAAAUACAAUGUUGAAGCAAUGAUUCAUACCUUAUGAAGCAAGGGAUUCCAAAAAUCUCAAAAAACAGAAACGGCACAAUGUCUUUGCAGUCCUUUAGGCGUCGGUUACAAAAAAGUUAAAAAACAUUAAAAGGAAAAUUUUAAAAUGAGACAGACAAAAUAAAAGAAAGAGUAAAGGGAAAAAAAUGUUAGAAAAAAAAAAGGAAAAUGAAAAGAGAAUAAACUAUUAAAAAAUACCUAUUAUCACAAGUCACAUUAACUGAGACUCCAAAAUCAUGCCAAUUCUCCCAGCCCAAAAAACUAGGACCAUUAUCUCGAAUAGCAAAAAAACAAUGACCCAAUAGAACUAGAACAAAACGAACAAAAAGCCAAUCCAAAAAAAACGAAACCUUCCCAUCUAAACAAACUACCCAAAACAGGAAUGAAAAUGCAAUAAGAUAAAUGAUAAGCAAAAAAACACAUAAUAGUCAAUAAAUUGACUAAAGUACAACAAUACAAACAUCAACAGAUUUGAAAAGAUGAACCAAAACAAUUUUUCAUAAAGUUGAGAACCAAAAUAGUUGCUGGGAAUUGAGAUGUUUUAAUAAUUAAACUAAUCCUUUAAUAACCAAUUCUUCACAUUCUAAGUAAAUAUAUCUUUAAUAAAAAUUAAACUCUCCAUCACUAAUUUCUAAUUUGUAUAUUAUAAAUCGCAAAUAUAAUUAUUCUCUUCAUAAAAUCCGUUCCAUAAAAUAGAGGAUUAUCAAAAAUAUACAUAUCUACUCAGAAGACACGAAUUUUCUUCUCAUAGAUUUUUAAAAAAAUCUCUGAAGUCUGACAUGUGAAUUUAUUUCAUAAUUCAUCACAGCAGAAGUUUUAGAAUAAAGCAUUUUAACAAAAGAUCAAAUCAAAACAAUGUUCAAAAUUAGCUCUCAUUCUUUCUCUUAAAAUUUCUGCUCAUUUCUGCAAAUCGGAAUGGCGUAUAUUGCCCAUAUUAGGCUCAAUAAUCAUAGAGCUAAUCAAAUUAAUUUCUCAACUUGGAUACACAAAUUGAAACUUCUAAUCCAAAAAUAGAAAAAAUAUUGCAAGUUGAAUUUUGAGAUCAGAGUUUGGUAAAAAAAUUUGUCUGUCACUGUUAAUCAGAAACACGGACCAAUUAAACCUCAUCAUAUCUCAAAAUUUUAAAGAAAUUUACAACCAAAAAAAUGGAGAAUUUUUUAAUAAAUUUCAAUAAAUAAAUAAAACAAAGGAGCGAUCAUCAGACUUAAAUACAAGUAAUCAUGGAAUAAAUCCAUUCAUAUCGUUGCAGUUUUUUUUUUCUCAUCAACUGAUCGAUGACAAAUACAAUACGAAGGAAAGAAAUUUUCGGGGAAAUGAAAGCCAUAAACCAUAGAUCUGAAAGCUGAAAGGAAACGAAAUGAAACCUAGUUGUGAAGAAGAGGGGAAGGUGGCGAAAGUCUGGGUUUUCAUGGUAUUUAUAGAUCUAAUUGGGAAGGUCGCGCUAUAAACCCUAGACUGCAACGGCGGCGUUUACCACUGGGACUAGAGAAUUGAAAUGGGCUGAAUUGCUUAAUAAUUGAACCAUAGACAUUACAUUUAUAAUUGUUGAUAGUUCAUCUUCGACCAUUCUCCAAUCAGCUUUUAGCUUAUGAACCACAAUUUCAGCAUAAGGCAACCACUAAGUAGCUUAUUAACAAAUUAAAAGCUAAAAAAUUAAAUAUAAAUUGAAAUAAUAGUUUUUCCUUAAAUCUUUUUGCAAUAUUUCGGAAAAGAAAUUAAAAGAAAGAGGAAAAAGAACCGGGAGUUGAGAAGAGGGUUUGGUUUUCAAAUACAAACAAUCCCAUAGAGCACUCCAUUUUCCAUAGCAGUUAUCCAAAACUCCUUCUCUAUAAUACUGUUGCAAUUGAUGAACCGGAGCUGCCCAACGAAUUAUUGAAUCAAUUCAUAUAAAAAAUUGAAAUUGGUAAAAAAAAAAAAUAGAAAAUAGAGAGAGGGUGGAAUACAAUAGCAAAACCAGAGAGCAUCGAAACAUUUAGUGCAGGACAAGAACCCGAUCCAAAAACCACGAAACCAUCCCAUCUAAACAAACCACCCCAAAACAGGAAUGAAAAGGCAAAAAGAAAAAUGAUAAGCAAAAAAAUACAUAGUAGUCGAUAAACUGACUAAAGAACAACGAUACAAACAUCAACAGAUUUGGAAGGACGAACCAAAACAGUUUUUCUUAACGCUGAGAACCAAAACUUUAACACUUCAGUUUACAGCAUUUAAACACUUCAAUUUGCAGCACUUUAACAUCUCAAUUAACAACAUUUAUACACCUCUAUCACAGCAAUAAAACAUCUCAAUUUCUAGCAACUAAACACUCGCUUUGGAUUUCACUCAAUAAUAUACUCCAAUGGACAUAUUAUAACGAGUCACUGGUUAGCCAUUUCAAGUUUCAAGAAUUCAAUAUUGUUUGGGACAUUUCGUCAAACAAUUCAUGAGUGUCCAAAUACCUAGAAGCACUGAAAGACAAAGGAAGCGGGAAAGUACUAUAAAUGCAAAGGACAAAAAGCAAUAGAGAAAAAAAUCAAUGCCCUUGGAAACAACAGCGAAAACCUACUACUCAUUCUUUAGCAUUUUUUUUCAGUCUCAUAAAAACCAUCAACUCAAUUUCCCUUCAUGUAAGGCUAGGUAACACGGAUGAAUAUAACUCUUUAUCUUUAACCAAAAUCCGAGUAUUUCACCACAUGUAUAUAUCAAUAAUCACAAAAAACUUCCUAUUCAGCUGAUAUACAGAGAUACCAUGGGUUUACCAAAAACUUCCAAUCAAAAUCCAUUCGCACAUCAUACCCAACAGAACACGAACAAUCCCAACUAUUUUAAAGAAAAUAUACCCAAUCCUUACUAAUAAAUGCAAGCACCUAGCAGUAUGAAAAAGAAAACAUAUAUGCAUACACGAAUCUUGACAAUCUCCACCGUAUAUGAUCAUGAAAUCCAAAUCCAAAAAAACCUUUGCAAUUAGCAAAUCGGUUGAAAUUCUACAAUUCUUCAAUCACUAUCAAUACUAACAAGCAUCCCAAUUAGAUUAUUAUUAUUUUUUAAAACUAAAGUACAUAUCAAGAAACAGAAUGUCCCAGACUGGAAUCCUAUAUGCCGGUUUUGAUCGUUUAGUGGGUACUUCGCAUUUCUAUAAAGAAUGGAAAACUAUUGAUAUAAUUAUAUAUGCAUUAUUUAAAUUUCUGCAAAACAAUUAAUUAAAAUAUUUCUAAAAAUAUUCUUAUAAAUAUUAAAUUGGAUCCGACCUGGUUUAUCAUUUAAUAUAAAGGAGUUAAUAUAAAGAACGGUUCGGUGAUUGUAAACUUUAUUGAAAAACCAAUAAUUAAAUCCUAAUAAUAUUUGUUCAUGAAUCUGUCAUUUUUUUUAAGCACCUACUUUUUUUAAUUUAGGUCACCUAUUUAGAAAAUCCUAAUAAUAACCAACUGAUAUAGCAUAAAACAACCAACUAUCAAGCAACUCAUCGUUUCGACAUCUUACCUUAAUUGGCACCAAUGGACACCUUUUAGAUCUAAUAACACAAGCAAUACUGUCAAGCAUUACAAGCUUCUCAACCAACUAUCAUCCUUACGAUAAUUCAUAUCAUUCUAUUUAAUUUAUGGUCAUAUCAUUUCUUAGCAACUCAAACCACGUCCACAACAUCACAAAUAUUGUAACACCCCUUACCCGAGACCAUUUCCGGAGUAGAGCACGAGGCAUUACUUAGCUUAUCUUACUAAUUCGGAGCAUAAAAAACUAGGUUUGAAAAUUUAUUUCAUUAUUCGCAGCAAAUCUGUCCAAUCGCGCAGCAGUUACUAAAUUAAUUAUAACUUGAGAUACAGAACUCGAAAUUUAAUUCCGUAAAUUUUCCCUGAAACUAGACUCAUAUAUCUACUCACCAUAAAAUUUUUAGAAUUUUUGGUUCAGCAAAUUAGUACAGUUUAUUAGUUAAAGUCUCCCCUGUGUCACCACCUGACUGCCCUGACCUCUAGUCACUAAAAAUAAGUUUUCUCACUGUAGGAUUUUCAUAUGAAGUUCUUACUUGUUUCUACAGAAAAUAGACUCAUUAAGGAAUCUAAGCAUGUAAAUUUCAACUCAUAACCAUUUUUGUACAAUUUGUAAUUAUUUUCUAAACUCAAAACAGGGGACUCCAAAAACAGUUCUGACCCUAUCUUACUAAAAUUCACAUAUCUUAAAAUAUAAAUUUCCUUUUUCUACACCGUUAUUUUUCCAUGAAAAUAGAUUCAACAAGCUUUAAUUCCAUAUAUCAUUCACCCUCUAAUUCAUUUUAUACUAUCUUGGGUGAUUUUUCAAAUUCACGUCACUGUGCUGCCUGAAUUCUGUUUCUUUGCAAAAUUUUAUUCUUUCAUGAUUUUCAUGCAUAAUUUAUCACCUAAUCUUUCAUAACAACGAACACCUUCAUCCUUAAUCAUUUUAAUAACCAUAAAUCAUCAAAUACUUACACAUCACUCGUUAGCAAAAUCAUCAUUACAAACAUACAAAAUAACUAAAUCCCUAUACAUGCCAUAACUCAAACGUGUUUCGAUAUAAAAUACCGAGCAGUUGUAGUUGAUAGUGUGGACGAUCUCCGACUUCUUUAGGAUCCUUGAAGUAGCUUUGCAAUACUAUAAGAGAAAGAGAAAUAAAAGAAGUAAGCAUAAAGCUUAGUAAGUUUACUAGCAAAUAAAUAACAAUAUUUAACUUAAAUAAUUAAACUCAAUGUCUAUAUCUCUAGUUUACUCUUUAGUUAAUCUCAUACUAGUUCUCUUACUUGUUUACUUAGAAUACUUGUGUGCAUAACUUACUCAAUCCUUGCUGCAUCGUUGAACAUCAAUUGAUAGUAUAAUAAGUUCUUAAGUCUUACAACUUACCUGAGCUUGCCAUUUAUGCUUUAAACUGAACUUUCAUGAACAUGAUUCAUUUACAAGCCCGUUGAGCUACAUUGGAAUAAUAAGGAUACUCGGGUCUCUUCUGAUAAUAACAUGCCAAAGCCAUGUCCCAGACAUGGUCUUACAUGAGAUGUUCUCGUGAUGGUGCCCAUGCCAUGUCCCAGACAUGGUCUUAUAGGGGACCUCUCAUCUCGGUGCCAACGCCAUGUCCCAGACAUGGUCUUACAUGGGACCUCUCGUCUCGGUGCCCAUGCCAUGUCCCAGACAUUGUUUUACAGGGGACCUCUCAUCUCGGUGCCCAUGCCAUGUCCCAGACAUGGUCUUACAGGGGACCUCUCAUGAUCUUAAGGAUGCCAAUGCCAUGUCCCAGACAUGGUCUUACAUGGGAUCUCUUUACCCAAAUGUCAUGACAUUCGUAUCCAGUACCAUCCUUAUGUAUCAACGGGACUUUUAAAUUUUAAUUCUCUAUCAUUUCAUGCUUGGAUCAUCAUCAAAUAAAUUCAUGAUUGUUGGAAAUUAACAGCAUUAAUAAUAAUUAUUGAAAUAUUGCAUUUAUUUACCGUAAACUUACCUCGGUACCAAUUAUAGCCAAAUUCACCAACUUAGUCUUCAACUUUAUUCUUCCCUUUGUCUAACCUCGAGUUUCGUACUUCUUGAUCUAAAAUAGUAAAUUUAACUUAUUUAAUAAUCACAUUCAUCAAAACAGCCCUCGACUCUAACUUUUUCAAAAUUACAAUUUUGCCCCUAAACUUUUACAUAAUUACAUUUUUGCCCCAAGGCUCGGAAAUUAAACUUCAUCUCUUAUUCUUAUGUUUUAUAACAUUCUGAACAUUUUUCCCUUCUAUGGCAACAUCAAAUUCUCACUCUAACAUGUACUUAUGACUAUUAGGUAUUUUUUACCGAUUAUGUCGUUUUACUCGUUUUCACUUAAAAUCGCUUAGCAAAAGUUAUUUAACAUAAUUUCUAGCUUCAUAUUCUAUCAUAAAACAUCAAAAUAAACACUUUUCACCUAUGGGUAUUUUUCCAAAUAUAAACCCUAGGUUAAAUUAUUGCUAGAAUAAGCUAAAUUAAGCUACCGGGAUCUCAAAAACGUAAAGAACAUUAAAAACGAGGCUUGGGAUCACUUACUAUGGAGCUUGGAAGCUUGAAAACUCUAACUAUGGCUUCCCCCCUUGCUGAUUUCGUUCAUAUGAAGAAGAUGAUGAUUUUUGCCAUCUUUUCCCUUUUAAUUCAUUUUAAUUACUAGAUUACCAAAUUGCCCCUAACUUAAAAAUUUUCUAUUUCACUUAUCUCAUGUCCAUUUUUGUCUACCAAGUUACCAAUGGUAUAAUUACCAUAUAAGGACCUCUAAUUAAAAGUUUCAUAACAAUUGGACACCUCUAACAUGUAGAACUCAACUUUUGCACUUUUUACAAUUUAGUCCUUUUGACUAAAUUGAGUGCCCAAACGUCGAAAUUUUCGAACGAAAUUUUUAAAAAAAUCAUUUUGUGAAAUUGUAGACCAUAAAAAUAUAAGAAAAAUAAAUUUUUUCUCAUCGGAUUUGUGGUCCCGAAACCACUGUUCCGAUAACCUCAAAUUUGGGCCAUUACAAAUAUACCAAUUGCAUAUUUAGCCAACCUACAUUUAUAACGUUCAAGCAACUUAAAUUGCAUCAUUACAAUGACUUAUUUUAUAUCAAUAAUACAACUUAUGUUCGUGAUCAUUUGGACAGUGUAAACGAAUAUUCAGACAGCUUACAAUGACAACAUAACAUGUUUUAAAAUAACAUCAAGUGCAAUUUUGUUUUCUAACUUAUUUUCGACUGCAUUUAAUCACCAAAAAUGAAGUGCAAUAACUAAUUUUAGACUCAUUUAUACACCAAAAUUUACAGCAAUUAAACACUUCAAUUUAAAUCAUUUAAGCACCUCAAUUUACAGCAAUUAAACACUUUAAUUUACAGCAUUUAAACACCUCAACUUACAAUACUUAACAUCCCAAUUAACAACAUUUAUACACCUCAAUCACAGCCAUAAACAUGACAGCGUUUAAAUAGUUCAAUUUGCAGCACUUUAACACUUCAGUUUACAGCAUUUAAACACUUCAAUUUGCAGCACUUAAACAUAUCAAUUAACAACAUUUAUAAACCUCAAUCACAGCAAUAAAACAUCUCAAUUUCUAGCAACUAAACACUCGCUUUGGAUUUCAAUCGAUAAUAUACUCUAACUGACAUAUUAUAACGAGUCACUGGUUAGCCAUUUCAAGUUUCAAGAAUUCAAUAUUGUUUGGGACAUUUUGUCAAACAAUUCAUGAGUGUCCAAAUACCUAGAAGCACUGAAAGCCAAAGGAAGCGGGAAAGCACUAUAAAUGCAAAGGACAAAAAGCAAUAGAAAAAAAAAUCAAUGCCCUUGGAAACAACAGCGAAAACCUACUACUCAUUCUUUAGCAUUUUCAUGUGAGGCUAGGUAACACAGAUGAAUAUAACUCUAUCUUUAACCAAAAUCCGAGUAUUUCACCACAUGUAUACAUCAAUAAUCACAAAAAACUUCCUAUUCAGCUGAUAUACAGAGAUACCAUGGGUUUACCAAAAACUUCCAAUCAAAAUCCAUUCGCACAUCAUACACAACAGGACACGAACAAUCCCAACUAUUUUAAAGAAAAUAUACCCAAUCCUUACUAAUAAAUGCAAGCACCUAGCAGUAUGAAAAAGAAAACAUAUAUGCAUACACGAAUCUUGACAAUCUCCACCGUAUAUGAUCAUGAAACCCAAAUCCAAAAAAAACCUUUGCAAUUAGCAAAUCGGUUGAAAUUCUACAAUUCUUCAAUCACUAUCAAUACUAACAAGCAUCCCAAUUAGAUUAUUAUUAUUUUUAAAACUAAAGUACAUAUUUUUUAAAACUAAAGCAAGCGAAAUAUAUAUAUAUUUAAUUUAAAAUAUCAGAAUGUAAAAGUGAAUUAAAACAUAAUGAAAAUAUUUAUAAAAAAAAAUUGUUAAAAACAUUAUUAAAAGAAUUCAAAAUUUGCUCAGUUAUCUCUAAAUUUGACAUCCUACUUUUAUUGGUUGAAAACAAUUUGGAGUAAUUCCGAGUAUAUUAAACCUUCACCGGCCAAUUCAAUCCCAAACUAGUUUAAUCCUUAUCAAAUAAUAUGAUAUUAUUAUUCAUGUCUUAUUCGAUUACUUUAUAAAAAAAAACUAAAUCCAAACGCUUAUAAAAAUUUAUAAAUUUAAUCCACAAAUUGGUACUUAAAUUACAUAUUUUUUCUCAUCUUUAUACCUAAUCUUUUUAUAAUCUUUUUAUUUUAUUUUCAUCGAUAAAAUAAAAUAUUUAGAGAGGUUGAGUAAUUGGUUUCAUUAUUAUUAGGGGAGGGAACGGGCCUAUAUCCCUUUAGCGGAAUAAGAACAAAAAUUAACACAAGGAGGAAGAAAAAAUAUAAAACUAGAUCUUAAAUUCGAACUGCAGAAUAAGAACGAAUAUUAACACCAGUAAACUUAAAAAAUCCGAACCAGAUUCAAAAUAUUUUACUAAGAAAAAAAAUAAAACGAAUAAAAAUAGUAAUUUCUAAACCUGAAAACCAAAAACCAUAAAAUAAACCAAGAAAUAGAAAUAAAAAAGCAUAAUUCUUAAAUUAAAAACAGAAAGCAGAAAAUACAAUGCAGAAAAACAGAAACGGCACAAUUCUUUGCAGUCUUUUAGGCGUCGGUUACAAAAAAGUUAAAAAACAUUAAAAGGAAAAUUUUAAAAUGAGACAGACAAAAUAAAAGAAAGAGUAAAGGGAAAAAAAUGUUAGAAAAAAGGGGAAAAUGAAAAGAGAAUAAACUAUUAAAAAAUACCUAUUAUCACAAGUCACAUUAACUGAGACUCCAAAAUCAUGCCAAUUCUUCCAGCCCAAAAAACUAGGACCAUUAUCUCGAAUAGCAAAAAACCAAUGACCCAAUAGAACUAGAACAAAACGAACAAAAAGCCAAUAAAAAAAACGAAACCUUCCCAUCUAAACAAACUACCCAAAACAGGAAUGAAAUUGCAAAAAGAUAAAUGAUAAGCAAAAAAACACAUAAUAGUCAAUAAAUUGACUAAAGUACAACAAUACAAACAUCAACAGAUUUGAAAAGAUGAACUAAAACAAUUUUUCAUAACGUUGAGAACCAAAAUAGUUGCUGGGAAUUGAGAUGUUUUAAUAAUUAAACUAAUCCUUUAAUAACCAAUUCUUCACAUUCUAAGUAAAUAUAUCUUUAAUAAAAAUUAAACUCUCCAUCACUAAUUUCUAAUUUGUAUAUUAUAAAUCGCAAAUAUAAUUAUUCUCUUCAUAAAAUCCGUUCCAUAAAAUAGAGGAUUAUCAAAAAUAUACAUAUCUGCUCAGAAGACACGAAUUUUCUUCUCAUAGAUUUUUAAAAAAAUCUCUGAAGUCUGACAUGUGAAUUUAUUUCAUAAUUCAUCACAGCAGAAGUUUUAGAAUAAAGCAUUUUAACAAAAGAUCAAAUCAAAACAAUGUUCAAAAUUAGCUCUCAUCCUUUCUCUCAAAAUUUCUGCUCAUUUCUACAAAUUGGAAUAGCGUAUAUUGCCCAUAUUAGGCUCAAUAAUCAUAGAGCUAAUCAAAUUAAUUUCUCGACUUGGAUACACAAAUUGAAACUUCUAAUCCAAAAAUAGAAAAAAUAUUGCAAGUUGAAUUUUGAGAUCAGAGUUUGGUAAAAAAAUUUGUCUGUCACUGUUGAAUCAGAAACACGGACCAAUUAAGCCUCAUCAUAUCUCAAAAUUUUAAAGAAAUUUACAACCAAAAAAAUGGAGAAUUUUUUAAUAAAUUUCAAUAAAUAAAUAAAACAAAGGAACGAUCAUCAAACUUAAAUACAAGUAAUCAUGGAAUAAAUCCAUUCAUAUUGUUGCAGUUUUUUUUUCUCAUCAACUGAUCGAUGACAAAUACAAUACGAAUGAAAGAAAUUUUCGGGGAAAUGAAAGCCAUAAACCAUAGAUCUGAAAGCUGAAAGGAAACGAAAUGAAACCUAGUUGUGAAGAAGAGGGGAAGGUGGCGAAAGUCUGGGUUUUCAUGGUAUUUAUAGAUCUAAUUGGGGAGGUUGCACUAUAAACCCUAGAUUGCAACGGCGGCGUUUACCACUGGGACUAGAGAAUUGAAAUGGGCUGAAUUGCUUAAUAAUUGAAAACGGAUCGAACAAUUUUCUUGUCCUUUAAAAUUCCAGCUCUUCCUUUAUGGGCUGAGUUUAGAUUUUGGGCUUUUUCUUUCUUUCUUUUUUUCUAACAUGUGAGGUGCAGGGGUAUUAUUGCCAAUGCAAGAGUACGUAAGUUCGAGUGUGUUGAAACGUAUUACCUUUUUAUUUGUAGGUUAAGAAAGGACUAUAAAUAAUUUUAGACAUUAUAUUAAAAAGAAUAAAUAUAAUCAAGUAAUGAAAUUGUUUAAAGAAAAUCAAAACUAUUUUUUUUCAGAAAAAAAGGAAUGCAAGUAAGGGAAUACAUACAGAGAAAGAAGAAAUUGUUUUUCAAAAAACUGAUUGAGAUAAUUAUAAAAACAAAAAUUUCAAAUCAAUUUCAUCCUAUAUAUUGAAUCUCUCCAAUGGCUAUGUGGAGAUGAUGAAGCAAACUGUCAUCAGUCGAUGUUGGGUGAAAUUUUACAAGUAGAUUCUUAACUAAAACCCCAAUUGAUUUUAACAUUUUGGUAAAGUUUCAUCUUUUAUUUUUAUAUUUAUAUAAGAUAUAAUAAUUAUUUAAUUUAUUUAUAUUUAAUUAUUUUUGUUUGAGAAUCAAAUUGAUAAAAUGUGUAAAUAUCAAGGACUAAAUAUGUUAUUAUACUAGUUAAAAAAGACAAUGUCAUUUAAUGGAAAGUGACUAAAAUAGAAACGAUCUAAAACGUUAGUGAGUACAACGUCGUAGAACAGCUGCACAAACAGCCAUCAUGCAUAUCUGUAUUAGCUUUGCUUCAGAGUUCGGAGUACAUAAAAAUGCACUAAUGAAGGUUUUAAAUGAGACGUAUGUGGCCAAUGAUAUCUCAAUUAGUACGUUCGACCGGCUAGUCAACAAUAUAAGUGCUGAUAACUUCAUUUACUUCAAUGAUGAUGAAAUUCCGCCAGGGGGCAGGGGAUCCACUAAGGCUUUACAUAUUACCACUUGAUGCAAAGGGUACACAUUGCUAGGGGUAUUGGUAAACAAUGGGUCAGCAUUAAAUGUAUUGUCUUUAUCCAUAUUGAACAGAUUACCUGUGGAUAGUUCACACAUGAAAGAGUGCCAGAACAUAGUGAAGGCAUUUGAUGGCUUAGGAUUCAAGCCAGAUUUAAGGAAAAGAAAGAAAGAUUUGGAAAUGAGGCAAGAAAGAAGAAGGGCUCGUUUGAGUGGUGAAGAAAUUAAGUGGGAACUCAUGAUAAUUCCACACAUAUCUGAAUCCUUUGUGUCAAGAGGGAUUAUUCAUGCUGAGCAGAAAGCGCCAAAGAAGGGAGACAUCGUAGCAAUGUGGGACAAUAUAUACAUUAAUGCCAUAUCCGAUGAGACAACUGAAGAAGAAACCCUAUCAGAUAUUCGCCCUUAUGAACCUGGGAGCGUUUUGGACAAUUAGACUGCAGAAGAAAUUCCUGUAGUAUUUAGAGCUUACUCAGAGUAAUGUUCAAAACGCACUUGUUGCUUUAAGCCUAGAAGUAAUAAGAUUUCUUUUGUGAAAUAGGCUCAUGUUCAAACAUCAUUAUCUUAAUGAAAUACAUCUUUGCUACUAUUUGAAGUGAACAUUCUCUCAUUCUUUCAUAUAUUUUGGAUUCUUCUAUUCCCCUGAAAUCAUUCUUUCAUAAUUUUACAUAAUCAUACCCCAUAAAUAAUCAGUCAUGAAUUCAUUCGUUCUUUCUAUAUUCUUUUGAACUUACAUUAGGUAUCCAGAUAUCAACGAUAUGAGUGAUGCUGCUAGGGACUCAGAAUCUCCUUUUGAGCAAGACAUGUGUUUAGAAGGAUAUGAAAGAUAUGUGGUGAUAGAUGAGAAUAUGCAAUCCAUUUUUUUAGUAUCAUCGUUUGUUUGUAGGAUGAAACUUGUGCAUAAAAAAGGAGAUAUUCUAAUAUCUAACAGGAAUUUCUUCAAACCGCUUAUCUGUGACAAAAGUUAUUCAUUGACGACAGGUAUUUUAAAGUAUGCAGCUGUGGGCUUGAGAGCUGAAAUGAAGGAAAUUAUGUAAGGCAAACCAGUACUGGACUUGCAGGGGGAGAUUUUGAUUUCUGGAAAUGGAAUUGAAGUUGUACAGAUUAUGAAAACUUACAUUCAAUUCAUCGCAUUUCGAUCAAAACCAACGCCAAACCAAACCCACCUUCACCCAAAUCUUAUUCAUCAAUCAAAAUAUAAAAUAAAUAACCUAAAACCAUAAUAAUCCCAUGAGAAAAACCAAGGUUUGUUUUUGGAAAAAAGCUUUAAAAAAUGAAAAGAUUAUGAAUUGAAUAAUAAACCCCCAAUUUCAUUCAACAACUUUCAAUCAAAGGAAGCACCAAGCCAAACGCUCCCUCGCUCAAAUCCCACAACAUCCAACAAAGUCAGAAUAAAAAAACAAUAACCCAAAACUAGAAUAAUCUCAUAUUAAAAACCAAACGAACUUGAAACAACUAAAAAAACAAAAAUAAACGAUGUCUCACCCACUGUCGAUUGACGAAGACUUUGUUGGAAAGGUGCAUUAUUUGACAAUACCCUUAUAGUGGAAGAAGAUGUUGAAUUCUAGGUUUCUGGUUAGAAAUUCAAUGGGUUUGGGGGAGUUCCUUGGAAAUCUAGUCUGAUCAAAGGGAAGAGGGGAAGGAGAGGAUCAUUUCGGAAGGAAGUAGUAAGCCAGAAAAUCAAUGGCGUCAGUAGAACAAAGAUACGGCUAGGAGAUUUGAGGUUGAGAGAGUUUAGUAUUGUAUUUUGUUUAAGAAUUGAUUUAGUUAGAAGAGAUAAUAUGAUUGUUUAGUUUUUAAAGCUAAUGAUAAAGUUAAGGGAUAAUGCAAGACAAAUGGUUUAAAAACAAUUAGAAAAUAAAUUAAAUACUAGACUAGCAGCUAUAACUAUUAAAUGUAGAAAUUUGAUUCGACAAUAGAAAUACAAUAAUACAAAUUGAAAUAUUAGCCAAAACCAAAUAAAAAUAAAAAUAGAAAAGGUAAAGACAAGGCUCACUCCCUGUAUAUGGAUGGCUAUAUCAUGGUAUAAUUAGAGAAACGAAUCAUCAAUCUGUGCAUGGUUUCUGGAUAAAACUUUCUUGUAAAUAAAUAACAAGGUCUCUUCAUUAAAUUCCACAAGCAUGACCCAUUUAUCCCUCUCCUCUGCACCAACAAACACAACACCUAUUUGUUCCUUCUUUCUUCCAAACAAACAUGCAUAAAAUCUCAAAUUCAAAACAAAAUACAGUAGGAAACAUUUUUUGACCUUUGGACUACUUGUGAAAUGUAUGCUUUCCUCAAUGAAUUGCACAGUCAAUCAAACACCAGUUUCAAAGUUUGUACCAACAAACUCACAUUUGGGAAUGUAUGUAUAGAUGGACGUACCGUAAGGUUCUUGAGGAACUCAAAUGUUAUAUCUUGGGCCCUAAAUGCUCUAGGAUGUCACUUCCCUUUUGACCAAUCUACAUACGUUACUGACCUAUUUGCGACUCCACUAGAAUUAGUCAUUUGUUGUAUAUAAAAAUAAUUGUUUUCACGACGUCACUUUUAUAUAUAGUAAGUAUUGAUACCAUAAAAAAAAGUCUGAGGUACCAACAUUAAAAAAAGUUGGCAAAUAAUUCCCGUCUGAAUAGCAAUUGCGUCUAUCCAUAUGUGGCUGACACAACAACAUAAGAUUUUUGUUAACGAAGCGGCACCCAUCAGGAUUUAUUUGUGAUUUAAAUUAAAAAAUGAAAAGUAUUACAAGUUUAAUAAUAGAAACUGAUAGGCAAGCAACAUUCUAAGGUUAUAUAGUUAAUUUAUUAUAGCAACAAAGUAGCUUUGCUCAACAAUUACCUUGCAAUAAUUCUUGAAUUUUCUGUAAUAUAGGUUGUCUGCCAUAACUAUUAUGGCAUGCUGGCACUUCAUGUUGAACCACUAAAAUGAAAUAUGAAUCAAAACCAACUAAACGUAUGAGAAACAUCAUUGCCACAAUUUAUUUUUUUGCAAAAAAAAAACUAUUACAAAAGGUCCAUGAAAACAUAUUCAGGCAAAACCUUACAAUCUCUUGCCAGAAAACAUUGUUAAAACUAAACACUUACAGCUAUUUAUCUACUCAGCACAAUAAGCUACUAUGGCAGUUAAUCAUAAUAAUUUUUAAAAGACAGGGAAUAGGACUUUACAACUACACAAAUCCAUGAAAAGACAUCCACCAUAGUCAAUUGUCAUAUUCUACUUACAAAAUACAUAGGUAGUUAUCUUAGAAACUAUUUGCUGGCUUAAAUUAUAAAUUUAGAAGUUGCAUGCCAUAAAAUCAUAGAAAUUAAGACAUGAUCAUUUCAUUUAUGCACAACGCAAACCUUACCCUAACAAGUAAUUGCACAACUAUCUAUGGUUUGGACUAUAAAUUUUACCGAGAGAAAAGUAGAGUAAUACAUGACGGCAUCCUCACUAAAAAGGUAACUAUCAGGAAUAUAAGAUCUACUAUACGGUGCUUUUUAUUCUUAUAAUAAUGAUGAUUAAAAUUUAGAUAAGGAUUAUGUAUUAGAUAAAAUCAAUGAUGUGGACAUAAAUGGUUGAUGCAUAAAAUAUAGUUUAGAAAAGGAUUUCUAAUAAAAAUAUGUAUUACAUCUUUUGUUUAAGCCUAAACAAUUGAGCUUGUUCUUAUAUUUCUCUCUUCUUUUUAUGUUUCCCUCUCUAAGCUUUUUCUUUGAUUCUUCUAUCCCUUCCAAGAAUUUGGUGUCAAGAACCUUAUAUGAUCUUAAAGGGCUUACAAAUCUUUAAAAGUUGAGUAAGAAGUUAGCUAGCAUUUGUCAACACCAAAUGGUUUAAGAUUGUUGAUUUUUGCCUCCACCACCUACCUUUUUAAGUGAAAACAAAUAAAUAUAGGCUGUCAACAUGAAGACAUAUCUGAAUGUUUUUUAUCUUUACAAUGUGGUUGGAAAUGAAAGAAAGAACACUAACUUUUGGUCAAUCCAUUUAUAACUCAGACAAAGAAUCAUAGCAAGAAAAGGAAAAGAGAUAUAAAGUCAAAAGUUGUAACAAAUCAUCCAUUUCUAAAGAAAAAUUUAAUUAGAAUCAUAAUAUGACAUGUUCAUGGAGGACUUCCAUGGUAGUAACUAGGCAAAUACAAGUGCUUAACCUCAAAAGAUAAUUUUAAGUUUUAAAGAUGAAAGAGACUGAAACUUUGAAAGAGUACAAAGACAGACUCAUAAAUAUAAUGAAUAAGCACAAAUUACUUGGGAGAGGAGAUGAAAGACAAAAGAGUUGUAAAUUGGAAGAUUUCAAAUACUUGACUAAGUUUUUUUUUGGCAAAACUAAUUUACGCUUUUGGGGCUCGAGAGUAAAGGACGGUUAUUAUGCAAAGGAUUUAAUAAAAGGUGUAUUUAUGGCCAAAGAGAAAGGCAAAAUGCAACAUGAGUACAAGAACGAAAAAUCAAGAGAGAGAGGAAACAAGAAUAAUGUAAAAAAUGGAAAUAAAGGAAAAUUUACGUCAUGUUCACAUUGCAAAAAAAGGAAAAACAUCUGGAGAAAUAUUGCUACUAGAAGCUAGACAUAUAAUGCAAGUCUUGCAAACAACUAGGCCACAUGGAGAAAGUUUGCAAGAAAAACCAACAACAAGAUCAACAAGCUAAAGGAUCAAAUGUCCUACAACAAUAGGAUGAGGAAGUUUUGUUUCUUAUUGCUAUGCAAUAAUGGCUCAUUGAUAAUAAAAGCAUUCAUCAUAUGACAUCAAAUAUCUACUUAUUCGAGGUGUUGGACAAAACUUGUUCCAAAGUCAAAAUUGGUAAUGAUAAGUUCAUAUAAGUUAAAAGAGAUGAGCUAUGAUAGUCGAGACACCCUAAGGUAAAACACCAAUUAAGAUGUUUUAUUUGAAUAAAUAGAUAAAAAUGUCCUCAAUGUAGGAAAAAUACUAGAAAAGAAUUAAUUUUUGGUGUUUAAGAUAAAACAUGCAUAAUUUAUUAUCCAUCAGGCCAUGAACUCUUAACUGUUGGUGUAACAGCCUAAUUUUCAGUGGUGUCGGAACAGUGAUUCGAGAUCACUAAAUUUGACAAAUGAGUAGGAAAUAUUAUUAAUUUAGUGAGUAUAAGUUAAAUGUGAAGCUAGGAAAAAUUUUGAAGUAGUGAAUAGUGUACUAAAAAUAAAUAUUAAAAUAAUUAGAAUAAAAAAUGAGGUAUCGAGACCUCGGGAAUUCUAAAUCGAGCCAUAAAUAUUUUUAUAAAUAUUUAUAGAGUGUUAAUAAGUUAGUAUUAAAGUUUCGUCAAGAAAUUUUAAAGUUCUGAUAGUUAAUUGAACAAAAAGGACUAAUUGUAUCAAAUGUAAAAUUGUGAGAAAUGAUUAAAUAGCUUAAAUGAUAAAAGAAAGAGGGUUUAAAAGACAAAUAGACCCAAUAUAUCUUUAUUUUUCUGCAUUCUUAUCGGCAAAAACACCAUGAAAGAGUUCCCUCAAGCUGGUUUUUCAUAUUUUUACUGCAAGUAAGUUCAAUUCUUGAUUAUUUUUUGAAAUUUUUGUGUUUUCGUGACUUUUACAACUAGGUCCACUUGUUGAAUUCAUUAGUUUUUUAUUCUAUGAAAGAAAUUGAAAGUUGCUAUGAAUAUGUGAUGGAAGUAUAUGAUGAUUUGGCAUGGAAUUAGUGCUUUAAAUUGUUUAUAUGCUGAUUUUAUUGAAAGAAUUGAAUAGAGAGUGAAUGUUUGAGACCUAAUUGUAAAAGAGUUUGAAGUUAGAGUUUUAUGUAAAAAAUUAUGAAUUUAAAUAGUUAUGAAAUAACUUAUAAUUUCUAGGAAAAGUAUUAAUUGAGAAAAUUAUCUUAAUUUAGGGGUUAAUUGAGCAAGGACUGAAUUGUAUGAAUUGUGAAAUUUGGGGCAAAAUAGAAAUCAACAUUUUGCACUAAAACUGUUUUGGACAGCAGCAGUGGUCUAACUUUGAAAAAUCACCAAAAAUUGUAGAAAUGGAAUUAGAGGAUGAAUAAAAUAUGAAAUUAAAGAUUAUUGAGUCUAGUUUCUUAUAAAAGAAAAGAUGUAAGAAACGGAAUUGUAAAUCAUGAGAUAUGAUAAAUUUUGUGAGAUAAGGUCAGAAUGAUUUCGGGUUCCCCUUUUCUAACUUUGUAAAAUCAUAAAAAAAUUGGAUAAAAAUAAUUAGAGGCUUAUACUUAUAUUUUUAGAAUCCUGAAUGAGUGUAUUUUCAAUAGAAUCAAACGGUAACAUCAUUCGAAUUCUGUACGAGGAGAUAAUUAAUUUUUAGUGAAGAAGGGUCGGAACUGUCAGAUAGUAGAACUGGGGAGACUUCAAUGAAUAAACUGUAUUAAUUGGCCCAACGAAAAAUUAUGAAAUCUUUAUGGUAAUAAGAUAUGUGAGUCUAGUUUCAGGGAAAAUUAGCGGAUCUUAAUUUGGAGUUCUGUAUCUUCAGAUAUAAAUAAUUUAGUGACUAUGACACGGGUGGAUAGCUUGAAUAUUCACAUAAGUAAUUAGUGAAAAUUAUGGAUAAGGUUACUUACAUGUGUGUUAUUUCUACCAAGGAUGUGGAUGGAGAGGAGGAGGAGGAAAAAUAUGUAACGGCCUAAUUUUCACUGGUGUCGGAAAUGAUGAUUUGAGAUCACUAAAUCCGACAAAUAAGAUUGAAAAAGAUAAUAAUUUAAUAUUUAUGAGUCAUGUAAGAAUUUAGAAGAAUUUGUGAAAUGGUGAAAAUAGUGAAUUAAAAGAAUUUAUGAGGUCAAACUGUCAAAAACGAGGUUUCGAGACCUCGAAUUUGAAAAUCAAGCUAUAAAUAUUUUUAUAAAUAUUUAUGAAGUUUCAUUUAGCUAGUAUUAAAGUUUGGUUGAGAAAUUUUAACGAUUAGGUAGUCAAUUAAAUAAAAAGGACUAAAUUGUAAUAAAAAUAAAUUUUACUAAAAGGAUUAAAUAGGUCAAGUGUUAAAAGAAGGAAGAUUUAAAGGGAAAUUAAGCCUAAAAGUGAAUAGGGUGGACGGCAAAGGCAAGAAAAUCAGCAGAGAAAUAAGGGAAAUAAGGGCAAAAUUGGAAAUUUUACAACUUUAGCAUAUAAAAAAAAGAACAAAAUUGAAGAAUCUAGAGAUCUCUUCAUAUUUUAUCAGCCAAAAUGUCAUAGAAGGUCUGGAGAAAGCUGGUUUUUCAUAUUUUUACAUCAUGUAAGUUUAAUUCUUGCUUUUUCUUGAUAAUUUUUAUGUUUUUAUGACUUUUACAAUUAGGUCCACUUAUAGAAUUCAUUAGUUUUUUAUUUUAUUGGUAAAAUUGGAAGUUACCCUGGAUGGAUAAGGGAAGUUUAUGAUGAAAUUUUAUGAAAUUUAAGUUCUAAUUUCAUAUUAAGGUGGUUUUAUUAAGUGAUUUUGAUAGGAAAUGAUAUUUAGGACCUAAUUGUGAAAAAGUUGUGAAUUGAAGGUUUCUGUUGAAAUUAAGAAUAUAAAAGGUUUUGGAAUAGUUUAUAAUGAUAAAAUAAAGUGUUAAUUGAGAAAAAUUACUUCAAUUAAUGGGUGAAUUGAGCAGGGACUAAAUUGUAAAAAUUGAAAAGUUUAGGGUAAUUGUGUAAUUUUUAAAAUUUAAGGGCGUAAAUUGUGAAAUAGAAUAGAAUUGAAAUGGAUGCUAAUGAAGGAAUGAUUUUAUAAUUAUAGAUCAAGAAAACAAAGUGAAUCGUGGGAAGGAGAAAAUUCAAGAAUAGUCCCUGAAUUUCUACGACUUUUGCAAAUUAGCCCAGGUAAGUUCAUAUGGAAAAGUUCAAUGUUUUGUUAUGAAAAUCUUAUGAUUGUUAAAGUAUUUUAUUGUUGAUGAAUACUAUCAAUUUCCAUUAACUAAUAAAUAAUGUGUAACUAAAAGUACAAAUUAGUAGGGACAAUGGAUUUGAGUGCUUCCAUUCUGUGACCCUGAUGAAUUGACGGAGAAUAUGUGAUAAGUGCGCCCAUUUAAGACCAUAGUUGGGCUAUGGGAUCAGUGCAAUGUGAUAAUGUGAUUCCGUAUAAGACCAUAGCUGGGCUAUGGCUUCGGUAUAAUGUGAUAAUGUGAUUCCGUAUAAGACCAUGUCUGGGAUAUGGCUUCGGUAUGAUAUGUGAACCGUCUAAGACCAUGGCAAGGCUAUGGCUUCGGUGUGUGAUGCGUAACAAUGUGAAAGUCCAUAGUUUACUAUGGCAAUGUGAUAAUGAAGCACUCAAUUCUCUUAUUGUUCCCUAAUUUGACAAUGAAGUAAAUGAGGAAUGGGCCUAAGGGAGUUAAAUUAUGAGUAGCCAUAUGGAAAUUAUUCAAAUGAGUUAUUACUGAAAUUGUGAUUUGGAGGAUGAAAUAGUUAAACUAAUAGAUAUAUGAUUGUGUACAAUAUUUGAUAAGAUUUGUGUUUUUAUGCCUAUGAGCUUACUAAGCUUCAAUAAGCUUACUUGUGUAUGUUUGAUAAUUUCUUUUGUAGAUUGAAUUAAAGAGAAGUUGGUAGAUCGGAUCAACACAACAAGACACACUAUUCAGAUCAAUUCCGGUUGUUUUUGUUUUAUGUUUAAAGAUUUAUAUGGCAUGUAUAGAGUUUGAAUGAAUUGAAGUAAAUAUGUUAUAAACUAGUUAACAAUAUUUGUACUAAAACAGUUUUUGGUAAGUAGCAGUAGUUUGACUUUGAAUAUUCACCAUAAAUUGUGGAAAAUGAGUUAAGGGCUGAAAAAAAUGAGAUUAAAGCCUAAUGAGUCUAGUUUCAUAUAGAGGAAACGGUGCAUGCAAUUGGAUUUUAUGCUAUGAGAUAUUUAAAUUAUUGUGAGACAGAGUCUGAAUGACUUCGAGUUCCCUUGUUCUGAUUUGUAAAAAUCAUUAAAAAUUGUAAAAAAAUAAAUAGGAGUCAUACUAUAUAUGUAUGGAUUCCUUAUUGAGUCUAUUUUUAAUAGAAAUAAACGUAUUGGUUAUUUGAAUUCUGUACAUGGAGAAAUUUGGUUCGUAGUUUACAGGGGUCAGAGCACCCGAACCCUGAAACAGGGGAGACUUCAACUAAUAAACUGUACUAAUUGGCCCAACCAAAAAUUCUAGAAAAAAAUUAGUAGAUAUAUAUAUGAGUCUAGUUUCAGGGAAAAUUUACGAAUCCUGAUUUUGAGUUUUGGAACUUGAGAUAUGAAUUUUUAAGCGUCUGUGAUGCAGUUGGACAGCUUGUCUGAAUUUGUUUAAGUGCCCAAAUAAGUUUAGUAAUGCCUCAUACUCGACUCCGGCGACGGUCUCGAGUAAAGGGGGUGUUACAUUUAUUGGUAUCAGAGCUUCGGUUUAGCCGAUUCUCAGAAUAUAUAUGAUGUGAAAAGUGUCUAGAAUUACAUGCCAUGUAAAUCUGUGAUAGUGUGAUGUGUAUGAUCCGAUCUAACCCUUGUUUUUAUUAUAGAUUAUCUUCGAUUUGAAAAGAUGUCAGAUAGACCAGAACAAAUUGAGCAAGAAGAAGUUAACAGUAGAGUACAAAUCUCUGAACAAGGAACAAAUAGUGAAGUUCCGAUUUCAUUGAUGCGAGAACAAGAACUCAAAAAUAUGAUUUAUGGAUUCAUGAAUCAGUGGUAUAAUGAGAAUGUGCGAGAAAGAGAUCAGACUCUGCAACCUCCUCCCCCUAUCUCAACAUUGGUAGUACCCCCGGUUGCUCCUCCACCUCCUCCGACAACUGAAUCUGGCAAACGUUCUUCAUUUGAAAAGCUCAGAAAACAUGGGGCUGAAGAAUUUCGGGGAAGAACAGAUGAUGACCCCGUUAAAGCUGAAUAUUGGUUACAAAGUAUAAUGAGGGUUUUUAAGCAAAUGGCGUGCUCACCAGAAGAUUACUUAAUAUGUGCCGUGUCAUUAUUGAAAGAAGAAGCUUAUAACUGGUGGGAAACAAUAGAAGCUGUUGUACCGGCUGAGAAGAUCACUUGGAAAUUUUUUCAAAAUGAAUUUAAGAAGAAAUAUGUAGGUAGGAGAUAUCUGGAUAAGAAGAAAAGUGAAUUUCUCGACUUGCGACAGGGAAACAAGUCAGUGGCUGAAUAUGAAAGAGAAUUUGUCUAUCUGAGCAAAUAUGCUCGAGAUAUAGUACCCACUGAAGAAGAAAUGUGUAUCAGAUUUGAAGAAGGGCUUAAUGAUGAGAUUAAAAUGAUGAUAGGGGGCAUUGAAAUACGAGAAUUUGUUGUUCUAUCAGAUCGUGCUCAGAAGCUUGAAGAAGUAUAUAAUAGUAAGAUGCAACGAGAUAGAAGAAGUAAAGAAUCUUUCAAAAGAAGUGCAUCUAAGUCAUUUUCGGUUUUACCUGUGAAGAAAUCUAAAGAGGAAUUCAGUCGAGCCACUUCAGCAUCGGAAAGAUCAGGAAAAAGUAGGCCAAGACAAUCUGAUUACAAAGCAUCUGACAAACCUGCUGUUAGUGUGGGUAGUGUACAAAUUACCCAAAGGCCUAAGUGUCAACAUUGUGGAAGAAGUCACCCCGGUGAAUGUAGAAGUAAGUUAGGGGCUUGUUAUAAAUGUGGGGCCACUGAUCAUUUUAUUCGUGAUUGUCCCCAAUUACAAGUAGAAGAAGUGGAACAGAGGGAGAAACGGAAAAUUCCUCCUCAAAAAGGAAGACGCUCUGGUCAGAGUAGUGCUACAAGGGCUACUCGUUUAGGUAUGAAAGAUACUGCUAGCCGAUCAGAAGUUAGGGCCCCUGCUCUUUCUUAUGCCAUUCGAGCAAGAGAAGAAGCAACAGCUCCAGACGUAAUUGCUGGUACUUUCUAUCUUUAUGAUGCUCCUGUGUAUGCUUUAAUAGACCCUGGGUCUACUCAUUCAUAUAUUUGCACUAUGUUAGCAUCUGAAAAGAAUUUAUUUGUUGAGCCUACUGAUUAUGAUGUACAAGUUACAAAUCCAUUAGGUCAAAGUGUGGUAGUUAAUUUAAUAUGUCAUAACUGUCCACUGAAAGUUAAGGGCUGUGAUUUCCCCGCUAAUUUGAUGCUGCUACCCUUUCGUGAAUUUGAUAUUAUCUUGGGCAUGGACUGGUUAAUGAAGCAUGAUGCGAUAGUGAAUUGUCGAGAAAAAUGAAUUAGCUUGAAAUGUCAAACAGGAGAUAUUAUUUUGGUUGAGUCUGGAAAUUUGGAUGAUAUGGUUAGAAUGAUUUCCUUUAUAUCUGCUCAGAAAUUGUUGCGUAAAGGAAAUGAGACUUAUUUAGCCUAUAUUCUUGAUACUCGGAGUUCUGAAUCAAAGUUAGAGCAACUACCUGUUGUAAAUGAAUUCAUGGAUGUAUUUCCUAAAGAAUUACCAGGUUUACCACCAGAUAGAGAAGUUGAAUUGGUGAUAGAUGUGCUUCCGGGAACAGCUCCCAUAUCGGUGACACCGUAUAGAAUGGCUCCAGCAGAAUUAAGAGAGUUAAAAACGCAGUUGCAAGAGCUAUUAGACAAAGGGUUUAUCAGACCGAGUAUGUUGCCAUGGGGUGCACCUGUCUUAUUUGUGAAAAAGAAGGAUGGUUCAUUGAGGCUGUGUAUAGAUUACAGGCAGCUGAAUAAGGUAACAAUUAAAAAUAAAUAUCCUUUGCCUCGUAUUGAUGAUUUAUUCGAUCAGCUUAAGGAUGCUGCAGUGUUUUCAAAAAUAGAUCUCAGAUCUGGGUAUUAUCAAUUAAAGGUAAAGGAAUGUGAUGUGCCGAAAACAGCAUUUAGAACUCGGUAUGGUCAUUAUGAGUUCUUAGUUAUGCCAUUCGGUUUGACAAAUGCUCCUGCUGCUUUUAUGGAUUUAAUGAAUCGAAUUUUCCAGUCUUACCUGGAUAGAUUUGUGGUUGUGUUUAUUGACGAUAUACUGAUCUAUUCAAAGACAAAAUCCGAGCAUGCUCAGCACUUGAGAAUUGUACUACAGAUAUUAAGGGAAAAACAGUUAUAUGCAAAAUUUAGUAAAUGUGAAUUUUGGCUUCAUAAAGUGGGAUUCUUGGGUCACAUUGUGUCAGUUGAUGGUAUACGGGUAGAUUCGAGUAAGGUGUGAGCGGUGAUUAAUUGGAAAACUCCAAAGAAUGUUACAGAAGUGCGAAGUUUCCUUGGAUUAGCUGGUUACUAUCGUCGAUUUGUGAAAGACUUUUCACUGAUUGCUUCACCGAUAACUAAAUUAUUACAGAAGAAUGUUAAGUUUGUAUAGUCUGAUGAGUGCCAACGAAGUUUUGAUCAAUUAAAGAAAAUGUUGACGAAGGCUCCAGUGUUAACUCAGCCUGAAUCAGGUGUGCCAUAUGUAGUAUAUAGUGAUGCGUCUCUGAAUGGUUUAGGUUGUAUAUUGAUGCAGUCAGGAAAAGUUGUAGCAUAUGCUUCUCGACAGUUGAAACCACAUGAGAGGAACUACCCUACACAUGAUCUUGAAUUAGCUGCCAUAGUAUUUGCUUUAAAAAUUUGGAGACACUACCUAUAUGGAGAGAAAUGUUAUGUGUACACAGACCAUAAAAGUUUGAAAUAUUUAAUGUCGUAGAAAGAGCUGAAUUUGAGACAGGGGCGAUGGUUAGAGCUGUUGAAAGAUUACGAUCUUAUCAUUGAUUAUCAUCCGGGUAAGGCAAAUGUAGUGGCAGAUGCACUUAGUCGGAAAUCAUCAUUAUUUGCUAUUCGGGCGUUAAAUGCUCAUUUAUCUGUUAAUGAAAAUGGUUCUAUAUUAGCUGAAUUAAAGACAAAACCAGUGUUCUUUCAACGAAUUCGGGAAUUGCAAGAUGAAGAUCCGAAGUUGGUGUUGAAACGACAAAUGGUUCGGGAUAAUUUGAACUUAGAUUACUCUAUUGAUAAUAGUGGUAUGUUAUACCAUUGUAAUAGAAUUUGUGUCCCGAAUAAUCUAGAAUUGAAGAAGGAUAUCUUAUCAGAGGCUCAUAGUAGUAUGUACUCGAUUCAUCCGGGUAGUAUGAAAAUGUAUUGUGAUUUGAAAAAAAUGUAUUGGUGGCCUGGUAUGAAACGGGAAAUUUGUGAAUUUGUGGCAAAAUGUUUAAUCUUUCAACAGGUAAAAGCUGAACAUUAAGUGCCUACAGGUUUGUUACAACCCAUAAUGAUUCCAGAAUGGAAGUGGGAACAUGUGACGAUGGAUUUUGUAUCUGGAUUGCCAGUGAUUCCGAAGAAAAAAGAUUCGAUUUGGGUGAUAGUAGACAGAUUAACUAAGUCGGCGCAUUUUAUUCCGGUCAGAACAGAUUUCUCGCUUGAUAAGUUAGCGGAAUUAUAUGUGUCAGAAAUUGUGAGAUUACAUGGGGUGCUGACAUCAAUUAUUUCUGAUCGAGAUCCGAGGUUUACUUCGAGAUUUUGGAAUAAACUACAGGAAGCUUUAGGUACUAAGUUAAAAUUUAGUACAGCUUUUCACCCUCAGACUGACGGGCAAACAGAGCGAGUGAUUCAGAUUUUGGAAGAUAUGUUAAGGUGUUGUAUACUUGAGUUCAGUGGCAGCUGGGAAAGGUACUUACCUUUAGCUGAAUUUGCUUAUAAUAAUAGUUAUCAAGCUAGUAUUAAAAUGGCACCGUUUGAAGCUCUGUAUAGAAGGAAGUGCAGAACUCCGUUGUAUUGGUCAGAAUUAAGUGAAUCAAAAUUAGUCGGAGUGGAUUUAAUUCGGGAAACUGAAGAAAAAGUUCAGAUUAUUCGAGAAAGUUUGAAAGCUGCUUCCGAUCGUCAAAAGUCGUAUGCAGAUUUGAAAAGAAGAGAUAUAGAGUUCAAUGUGGGUGAUCGUGUGUUCUUGAAAGUUUCUCCGUGGAAGAAAGUUUUACGGUUUGGUAGAAAAGGAAAGCUUAGUCCACGAUUUAUCGGACCAUACGAAAUCAUUGAGAGGAUCGGUCCGGUAGCUUAUAGAUUGGCCUUGCCUCCAGAACUUGAGAAAAUCCAUAAUGUAUUUCAUGUAUCUAUGUUAAGACGAUAUAGAUCAGACCCUUCACAUGUGAUUCCUCAUACUGAGAUAGAGCUACAAUCAGAUAUGACUUAUUCGGAGGAACCAGUGAAAAUAUUAGCUCGGGAAGUUAAAGAACUACGGAAUAAACGAGUACCGUUAGUAAAAGUGUUAUGGCAUCGACAUGGAUUGGAGGAGGCAACUUGGGAAAUAGAAGAAUCUAUGAAAUCACAAUAUCCACAUUUAUUUUCAGGUAACAAAUUUCGAGGACGAAAUUUUUAAAGGGGGGGAGAGUUGUAACGGCCUAAUUUUCAGUGGUGUCGGAAAUGAUGAUUUGAGAUCACUAAAUCCAAAAAAUAAGAUUGAACAAGAUAGUAAUUUAAUAUUUAUGAGUCAAGUAAGAAUUUAGAAGAAUUUGUGAAAUGGUGAAAACAGUGAAUUAAAAGAAUUUAUUAGGUCAAACGGGUUAAAAACGAGGUAUCGAGACCUCGAAUUUGAAAAUCAAGCUAUAAAUAUUUUUAUAAAUAUUUAUGAAGUUUCAUUUAGCUAGUAUUAAAGUUUGGUUGAGAAAUUUUAACGAUUAGGUAGUCAAUUAAAUAAAAAGGACUAAAUUGUAAUAAAAAUAAAUUUUACUAAAAGGAUUAAAUAGCUCAAGUGUUAAAAGAAGGAAGUUUUAAAGGGAAAUUAAGCCAAAAAGUGAAUAGGCUGGACGGCAAAGGCAAGAAAAUCAGCAGAAAAAUAAGGGAAAUAAGGGCAAAAUUAGAAAUUUUACAACUUUAACAUAUAAAAAAAAGAACAAAAUUGGAGAAUCUAGAGAUCUCUUCAUAUUUUAUCAGCCAAAACGUCAUAGAAGGUCUGGAGAAAGCUGGUUUUUCAUAUUUUUACAUCAUGUAAGUUUAAUUCUUGUUUUUUCUUGAUAAUUUUUAUGUUUUUAUGACUUUUACAAUUAGGUCCACUUAUAGAAUUCAUUAGUUUUUGAUUUUAUUGGUAAAAUUGGAAGUUACCCUGGAUGGAUAAGGGAAGUUUAUGAUGAAUUUUUAUGAAAUUUAAGUUCUAAUUUCAUAUUAAGGUGGUUUUAUUAAGUGAUUUUGAUAGGAAAUGAUAUUUAGGACCUAAUUGUGAAAAAGUUGUGAAUUGAAGGUUUCUGUUGAAAUUAAGAAUAUAAAAGGUUUUGGAAUAGUUUAUAAUGAUAAAAUAAAGUGUUAAUUGAGAAAAAUUACAUCAAUUAAUGGGUGAAUUGAGCAGGGACUAAAUUGUAAAAAUUGAAAAGUUAAGGGUAAUUGUGUAAUUUCGAAAAUUUAAGGGCGUAAAUUGUGAAAUAGAAUAGAAUUGAAAUGGAUGCUAAUGAAGGAAUGAUUUUAUAAUUAUAGAUCAAGAAAACAAAGUGAAUCGUGGGAAGGAGAAAAUUCAAGAAUAGUCCCUGAAUUUCUACGACUUUUGCAAAUUAGCCCAGGUAAGUUCAUAUGGAAAAGUUCAAUGUUUUGUUAUGAAAAUCUUAUGAUUGUUAAAGUAUUUUAUUGUUGAUGAAUACUAUCAAUUUCCAUUAACUAAUAAAUAAUGUGUAACUAAAAGUACAAAUUAGUAGGAACAAUGGAUUUGAGUGCUUCCAUUCUGUGACCCUGAUGAAUUGACGGAGAAUAUGUGAUAAGUGCGCCCGUUUAUGACCAUAUUUGGGCUAUGACAUUGGUGCAAUGUGAUAAUGUGAUUCCGUAUAAGACCAUAGCUGGGCUAUGGCAUCGGUAUAAUGUGAUAAUGUGAUUCCGUAUAAGACCAUGUCUGGGAUAUGGCUUCGGUAUGAUAUGUGAACCGUCUAAGACCAUGGCAAGGCUAUGGCUUCGGUGUGUGAUGCGUAACAAUGUGAAAGUCUAUUGUUUACUAUGGCAAUGUGAUAAUGAAGCACUCAAUUCUCUUAUUGUUCCCUAAUUUGACAAUGAAGUAAAUGAGGAAUGGGCCUAAGGGAGUUAAAUUGUGAGUAGCCAUAUGGAAAUUAUUCAAAUGAGUUAUUACUGAAAUUGUGAUUUGGAGGAUGAAAUAGUUAAACUAAUAGAUAUAUGAUUGUGUACAAUAUUUGAUAAGAUUUGUGUUUUUAUGCCUAUGAGCUUACUAAGCUUCAAUAAGCUUACUUGUGUAUGUUUGAUAAUUUCUUUUGUAGAUUGAAUUAAAGAGAAGUUGGUAGAUCGGAUCAACACAACAAGACACACUAUUCAGAUCAAUUCCGGUUGUUUUUGUUUUAUGUUUAAAGAUUUAUAUGGCAUGUAUAGAGUUUGAAUGAAUUGAAGUAAAUAUGUUAUAAACUAGUUAACAAUAUUUGUACUAAAACAGUUUUUGGUAAGUAGCAGUAGUUUGACUUUGAAUAUUCACCAUAAAUUGUGGAAAAUGAGUUAAGGGCUGAAAAAAAAUGAGAUUAAAGCCUAAUGAGUCUAGUUUCAUAUAGAGGAAACGGUGCAUGCAAUUGGAUUUUAUGUUAUGAGAUAUUUAAAUUAUUGUGAGACAGAGUCUGAAUGACUUCGAGUUCCCUUGUUCUGAUUUGUAAAAAUCAUUAAAAAUUGUACAAAAAUAAUUAGGAGUCAUAAUAUAUAUGUAUGGAUUCCUUAUUGAGUCUAUUUUUAAUAGAAAUAAACUUCUUGGUUAGUUUAAUUCUGUACAUGGAGAAAUUUGGUUUGUAGUGUAUAGGGGUCAGAGAACCCGAACCCUGAAAUAGGGGAGACUUCAACUAAUAAACUGUACUAAUUGGCCCAACCAAAAAUUCUAGAAAAAAAUUAGUAGAUAUAUAUAUGAGUCUAGUUUCAGGAAAAAUUUACGGAUCCUGAUUUUGAGUUUUGGAACUCGAGAUAUGAAUUUUUAAGCGUCUGUGAUGCAGUUGGACAGCUUGUCUGAAUUUGUUUAAGUGCCCAAAUAAGUUUAGUAAUGCCUCAUACUCGACUCCGGCGACGGUCUCGAGUAAAGGGGGUGUUACAAAAUAUAUGAAUGACUCGUGUAUAAAUUGAUCACAUGCCCGAUUAUAAUCGAUAAGUGUUGGAUUAAAAAUGAUAUAGUGUUUUAUUUUGAAUAUUUAUUAUGAAAUUAUGAUUAUCGUUAUAAUACAAAAAUUGAACUUGUGAGUUUAUGUGGCUAAAUUUUAGUGAUUAUUUGUUAAUUUUAUGAAUUUCAUGAUGUGUUACUUCAUAUGUAUUGAUGAUAAAAUCGUGAAUAAUGUAUGAGCAUGAAAAUUGAAUAAAUGGUCAAAUUGAGCAUUUCAGUUCAGUGACAAGAUGAAUUGAAGGAAAAGACCAUGGUUGGACCAUGGCAACAAGUGAUAAGUGAUAGCUUCGACUUAUCUGAUCAAGGACAAAUGAAAGUGAUAAGUGAUAGCUUCGGUUACACUUAUCUGAUCAAGGACAAAUGAAAGUGAUAAGUGAUAGCUUCGGCUACACUUAUCUGAUCAACGACAAAUGACAAGUGAAAAGUGGUAGCUUCUGCUACCUGAUCAGUGAAAAGUGAUAGCUUCUGCUACCUGAUCAGUGAAAAGUGGUAGCUUUUGCUACCUAAUCAGUGAAAAGUGGUAGCUCCGGCUACCUAAUCAGUGAAAAGUGGUAGCGCGAAGCUACCUGAUCAGUGAAAAGUGGUAGCUCCGGCUACCUAAUCAGUGAAAAAUGGUAGCUUCGGCUACCUGAUCAGUGAAUUGUGGUAGCUUCGGCUACAAGUGACAAGUGAUUUCCGUAUAAGAUCAUAUUUGGGCUGUGGCAUCGAUAUAUGAAUAUGUGUAAGACCAUAGCUGGGCUAUGGCAUCAUUAUGUGAAGAUGUGUAAGACCAUAAUUGAACUAUGACAUCGAGAAAACGAAGUACUCAAUUCCGUAAGACGUUCACUAAUUUGACAAAGUUUGGUAAGUGUUACAUGGAAUUAUGUGAUACAAGGAAGUACGAGUUGAUAAGAUAUGAGUAUAGAACUUGGUUAAUAAAUGAAUUCAUUUGUGAUUAUAUAAUUAUUCAUCUUGAACGUACUAUCCAUAUGUAUUGAUAAUUCAAAUGUUUUAAUGAAUAAAGUUCCGACAUGAAAUAAAUUGAACACGAGACAAAUAAUUAUGAAAUUGAACUCGAAAUUCAUGAAAAUGACAGUUAUUGAUAUAUGGAGACAUGAGAGAUUGAUAUAUGAAUAUGGAAAAUGUUUGAUAAAUGUGUUUAUUCAUAAUUAUGGAAUUAUAUACCUCAUGUGUACUAUUUGCAUCAAGAUGAUAUUUCAAAUACUUUGGUUAUUUAAGCUUAAAUAUGGAAUAGUAUGAAAUCAAGAUAAGUUGUUAUGAAAACAUAUUUAGAUUAUAGAGAUAUGGCUGAUAUAUGUUGUAUGAUUACAUAACGUGAAAUUGUAUAUAUAUAUGAGAAAUUUAUUGAGAAUUGAGCCCAUACACAUUUCUUGUUAUUUAUAUUAAGUGUACGACUGUCAAGGGUGAUGAAGUUAUAAAUAGAGAGUUACACGGGUUGAAAACACGGGUGUGUGACUCUCCAAAGUGUGAAAAUUUUCUAAGUGUUGCAAAAGUUUUAUAUGUUUACGGUUUGGUCCCAAACCACCCUGAAUGUAUGUUUUGGGCCCCGUAGGCCCAUAUAAGGGACGUUAAACAUAUGUAUGAAAGUUUUUAAUUUAGAAGAAAUUUUAUGGCUGAUUUUUACAUGAUUGAUCAUAUUAAGUUCGGUAAUGCCUCGUACCCUAUUCUAGGCUCGAAAUACGGGUAGGGGGUGUUACAGUUGGCAUGAAAGAUAAAUGUUUCUCCUUAAACUUUGAUUAAUCUAGUUCAUCAACUUAUACCGAUUCAAUUAAUGAAUUUGAAUUGUGGCAUAAAAGGAUGGGUUACUUAUAUAACAUCUCCAAAUUUUUUAUGUCAAAAUUUGUGUCAUCUCGGUGGUAGAGCUAAUUAAAAAUUUGUAAUUAUAUUAGACUUCAAGAAAGGCUCUAAAGACUAACUUGUAAUUAUUUUAAUGUGACACUAAAGAGUGGUAGCAAUGUAAUUAUGUUAGACUUAAUAAAGGCUCUAAGGACUAACUUGUACGAGAAAGUAAAGUAAUAUGCCAAAUCUAGAAUGAAUAAGUGGAGAGCUUGGAGAUUUCUUGGACUUAAGUGGCUAGUUGGCAUAGCCUUAAUAAGGAAUUAAACCAAGAUUUGAGUGUAAUUAUACAACUUUGUUAAGUAAGUGAAGAGCUUUAAUACUUUCCGUGAAUUUCCACUAGCUAUUUUAAGGUGUAACUUUGUUCACAAUUUGGCUCUCUCUCUAGCAAAAACUACAUUUUUGAUGCGGUCGUUGAGAGCACCAAAAAUAUCCUAUUCUCUGUAAAAUAACGAAAAAGAAUACUAAAGGUGGAAGUAGGGUCGAAUCCUCAGGGACCGGAUUAUACGGAUACUUAUUUCUCGAAAUCCUGGGCAGAAUCGUGCCCAAGAAAGCCUGCGUUCCUGAAAAAAAUAAAAACAGAAUUAAAAGUUUUGAUUUGGAAACGAAAAUAAAUAAAAACAGAAUUUAAAGUUGACUGAAGUUGUGAUUGCGAAAAUAAUAAAAAUAAUGAAGAGAGUUAAAGGAAAAGAAAUUCUUAUUGGAAGAUUUCUGCCUCCAGUUGUCUCAUUCCGCCUUGGGUUCAAUCCUCGGCUUUUGGAUGACCCUUCUCGAAUCAAGUAAGCCAGUUAUAGUGGAAGAGGACGCCUACGACCACCAGUUUCAAAUAUUAGACUUAUGAUUUUUAGAGAACCUGACUCUAGCCAUAAAUCUAUGCUAGAUCAACGCUUCUCAAUGGCGAAUCCCAUGCCAUUUUGUCUCUUUGGCUCGCCAACCUCUGACGCAGUAAGUUAACGAACCGACUAUGUAACCCUUCCAAAACACACAAUGCGGCUGCCUUUGCAUAUGCUGAAAAGCUUACUUCUUAAGGGCCUUGGACGGAAGCGUCAGCCCGCAGUGCAGAGAAACGAUAAUACUUGGCGAGAAGGCUAAGUACAGAUUCUAAGCCUCAAGAACCCUUUUUAGGGAAUGUCGACAACUUUCGGCUAGAUGGGUUUUAGUGGCUCACGAUAGUGGUGGAAAAGAAAAUAAAUAUAAAGAUGGAAAAGGAAUUUUUAUUAAAGGAAAAUAUGGAAAGAAACAAAAGCCUAGAGGAGGAGAGUGUUUACAUAAAAAGAUGAACAACCAAAUAGAGUCACUUCACCCCCUAUUUAUAGUACUAGGAAGAUAGUCUAAUUUGACUUAAAUUCUAAAAAGAUAAAUAUAUUUAAUUAAAGAUAAUUAAAGAUAAUUAAAAUAAAAUCCUAAAAUUAAAUAAUCCUAAUAAUUAUCUUAAUAUUAAUUAUCCUAAUAUAAAAAUAGAGUCUUAUAAAAUAAAAUCUCUUCUUUUUGCAUUUUCAGUCCUUGUGUCUUCUAUGCUCGCACUUUUGGCACAAUCUUUUUCCUGUGUCGCAUAUUAGCCCAUUUUGUCUCCAAAUUCGUAUUUUUGCCCCUUAAUUUUGCUUUUGACUCCAAAUCAGUCCCUAAAAGAUAAAAUAUUAUAUAUAGCAUAAAUUAGCAGGAUCAUACUCAGAAUAAUCACAUAAUUAAUAAAAUAAAAUACGUUAUUCUAGAGUAUUAUCAAAUUACCCCUACUUAGCCCAUGCUUGCCCUCAAGCAUGGUUCCUAUCCACUAUGAAAGUUAGAUUCUACUAUAGAAGAAAUACCACUCCAAAGUUUCAUAAGAAUUAGUUAGAAAUGCAUAUGAAAAAUAAAGAGAACCCUAAGCUUGCUUUAAGUAAAACAGAAAAAGUUUUCCAAUUAAUACACACAAAAAUUAAAAUCGAUUUGAAUUAUUUCAUGGAAAUUAGGUAAAUUACUAAACUUACCAAGACACCCUCUUUGUUUCUUCCUUUAACCCUAAAUUUUAUUUAUUUACAUAUUUUUUUUGCUUUUUCAUUUUCUUUCUUUUUUCUAUUUACUUAUUUAUUUAUGUAUGUAUGUUUGUAUGUUGAACUUUUGACGCAAAGAGUGAUAACAGCCAAGCACCAAACCCCCGUUACUCAGCCCAACAUACUUUUUAUUUUUUAUUUUUCCUAAAAACAUGUGGAACCUUUUGACGCGAGGAGUGAUGACAGCCAAGCACCCCACCCCGAUUACUCAGCCUAACACAUUCUUAAGAAUUAAUUCCGGUUAGCAGAGUUUUAACUAUCACGUCACACAACCUUUUGACGAGAAGUAGAAUGACAACCCCAGCACCCUACCCCGGUUACUCAGUUAGUCACGUUCUAAGCUGUACUCAUAACCACGGAAAAAUUAUUAACAAUUAAAAGAAAUUUAAAUUUUGAGGACUCAGGAAAAACAAUUUAAGUGUCAAGAGCAAGUUUCAAUAAUCACCUAAUAGCCAUGAACAUAAAUUAAGCAUGCAAUCAUUUUAAGUGUUCACUUUAUAUUAAACUUGAUCAAUUUUACGAAAAGCAAAACAGAGUUAACUCUAUUAAUCACAAUUAUUUCUAGCCUAAUAAAAAUGAAACUGUGGAGAUGGCGUCAAUUAUGAAAAAAAUCAUAACUUCCUCAGAAGGCAAGAAUCAUGCUUGUGGGGCAAACAGUAGGCAAUUCCUGGUCAAAAUCUUGCGCUUGAAAAGAGAUAGCAUCUUCUUAAAAAAAUAUGGACAAAAUGGGGUCUCAUCAAACAGUAACAAAAACACAGCAGCAACAUCGACCAAAAUCACAGUAGAAAAUGACAGUAAUAACGAAGAGUUCCUUCCCCCUACUUAAAAUACAUUGUCCUCAAUGUUGACAAAAAGAAAUAAAUAGGUAGAUAGGUUUAGUAAUACUCCCCAUGUAGUUUACCGUCGAUCACCCUUGAUGGCAAGGAGUUCGGUGAGUUGCUGGCCAAAUGUAUCAAGUCGAGCCUCAAUGCGCUCCAAGCGUUGCUCAACGGUCAAUGUUGGUUGAGCUUGGGCGGGUGCUUCAUUGUGAGUUUGUUGGCGAAAGACUCGCUCGGAUUGUAAAGAACGAAUACGGGGAGGUACAAAACUGAAUAUGAUGGAGUGCCACGAAGUAACCCCAUUGAGUCGAGGCAUCGAGCAUCCAAAGGA
rnacentral:lncRNA from 1 species